AAGCCAAGGUGCUAGGCCUUUGCAUUGGUCACAUCCCUCAUGUCAUGCCUUGUGCCCUUUUCCUUCAGGGAGGCUGGCGGUGUCUCUGCCCCUGUGGCUCCUGGAGGCAGGUGGCAAUAAGUACUUCUCGAGGAGAAUGAACCUCGAGUAUCUACAGCUGCUCUAUUCCAUUCCCGCCCCUCUCGUUAGGGCUUAAAAAGAGUACGGAGUCCAUGAUGCAGGUGGUUUGAAUGAAAAGCAACCCCCCUUAGCCUGGGUAUUUGAAACCAUGGCUCCCGGUUAGUGGUGCCGUUUGGGGCGCGUUAGGAAGAUGUUGGCAGAUGUACAUCGCUGGGGUGGGCUUUCUCGUUCCCCCUCUCUGCCUUGUGCUGCUCUUGAAACUGCAAGCUCUCAGCUGCCUGCUGCCGCCAUGCAGGUCAUUUGUGGGUAUGCUUCUCUUCUCUGAUGGACUCUUACUUACUUCUUUGGAAUUGUAAGGUGAAUCAAACCCAUCCUUCCUGAAGUGUCCUCCUCGGUCAUAUGAUCCAUCACAGCAUCAGAAAAGUAACAUCUAUGCUGCUGAGUCCCUUCUCUGCCACCCCAUCACUCAAGGCAAGCCCAGGUCCCCAGGCAAUCACACGGCAGCAUUCUUAUCGUGACUCCGGGGAAGCAGCCCCGCCUCCAUGUUGGGUCUGUGCACACAGGCAGCUCUGUUAGGCAGUUAAAGACACACAUGGGAAGAACGAAAAGCACGAGGCAGUGUUUAUGGAAAUCGAGAUGCCCUUGUAAUUAAAGACUGCUCUGCAGGGAGAACCUUUGGAACUUGAGCUCUGUGAGUAAGAAAAAAAAAGCCAGAACCAAAGUCUGGUGACCUAGGGACUCAUCCAGCCCUCACCUCCCUAGCAGGAGGAGGUGGAUGAGGCGAUGUGGUUUUCUCAGGACAACUGCCAUUUGGUUCUGUCUGUGGCUUAAAGGUUAGUGAAGAAGCAGUAACCUGUACUCUGUACUCUGCACAAGUUGUACUCUGGUUUUGUGUUUGGAUCCGGAAUGUUCUUAGGAGAAUUGCAGGUCUUAGUAAUUCUGAGGAGGGCUAGGGAUGGGUGGCAGGGCCUCAUCCAUGCUGGGCCCCUUCACAGAUUCCAUUAACUGCUACAUUUCACAAUAGCUGGCAUUUCAAAAUUAACCAUCGAUGUUGGGAGUCGCCAAGUAAAAGAUUUCUAGACAGACGCUGCUGUUGGCAGCCCCACGGGCACACAGAGGGACGGAGUGUGAGCAGUGUCUCGGAUGAACGCAGGCUCGUCCCAGAGUGGGAUUCCUGUUCACCUGGGGGAUGUAGAACAGGUGAUGGUUUGUCUUGGUCAUCAACUUGACAAGGUCUAAAGCCAACUGGGAGACAGGUCUCUGUUUCGCAGAUUAUGCAGGCUGGGUUAACUGAGGUAGAGAGACUCACCCUAAGCAAGGGCAGUAUCGUUCCACGGGCUGGGGUUCUUUGUUGAAAAAGGAAGACAGCAUGGCCAACACCGACAUUCAUCUUUCUGCUUCCUGAGGGUGGGCACAAGGUGAUCAUCGGCUUCUUGUUCGUCUACCAUAAUGGACUGUACCCUGGAACUGUGAGCUGAAGUAAGCCUCCCUUCUUAAGAUUACUCGUAUCAGGUAUUUUGUCACAGCAACAACAAAAUGUGACCAAUACACAUGCCCACUGAAGAGCACCCGCUCCUGCACCCAAAGGACCAGUAUCACCAGAAAGAAGACCAAGUGCCAGCAAGUGGCUUUCGGACAGGGAUGGAACCCAGCUCCUGACCCAGCUUCCAAUUCUGUAGAUGUCCACUGAGCACCUCCUGAGUAUCAGACACUUGUCCUAGGGAUGGGUGCUUCUGUGCCGGAAGAGACAGAGGACCACUGCCUCCAGCCAACAGGGUGACAGCAAACAAACAAGUUUCCUUAUCCGUAUGAUGUGGUGAGGUCGGAGGGUAAUAGCAUGCAGGCUACGGAAGGUGCUGCAGUGAGCGAGCUCUUGCCUUGCAAGUGUGAGGACCUGAGUUCCAUCCCUAGAACCUGUAUAGAAAACAGUGAUGCACACUUGUGAGGAGCCCAGCGCUAAUGCAGUAGGAAGCAGGACAGGCAGAUGCUCGGAGCUCAUUGCCAGUUAGUCCAGCCCACUUGGCAAAGUUCUAGUUCAAUGAGAGACCCUGUCUGAAAUAAUGAAAAGCUUCCUGAGGAACAACAUCUGAAAUUGCUUUUGACCUCCACACAUGUGUGCAGAUGCACAUGUACACACACACACCAAAAUAAAAAGAAAAAUGAUGAAUAAGGUAGAAGUGGCCAUGAGGGCUAUAUAGUAUGAGGAAACCCUGUAGAAGAUCCAAGUUGUGAAAUCUAUGUUUAGUUGUACAGAGGCCAGCUUGGGCGUGACAUCCACAUCAUAGGACUCUGGAGACUGGGAGUACAUGCUAAUAAGACUGGGGAAGGACAAGAGCUACUGCGGAUGUUACUGUGAUAGUCUUUAGGACUGAAUUGUAUCCCUCCAAAUCUGUAUGCUUGAGCCCUAAUCCCCAUUAGGCCUGUGUUUGUAAAUCGGGACUUUGGAAAGGUCAUUUACUUUAGAUGAAACCUCAGAGCUCUGUCUUCAUCCAAUAGGAUUGGUGUCAUGACAAAAAGGAGAGACACCAUGAGUGACCGGGCAUCCAUGCCACAGCAUAGGAAGACAUGGCCUGAGGACGGCCAUUGGCAAGUCAAGGAGAAGCCAAGCCGGCUGGACAUCUUGAUCUUGGACGUCCAGUCUCAGAAUAGAGAUAGUAAGUGUCUGCAGUUUUAGCCACAUACUGUGGUGCUUUGUUGUGACAUCUCCAGUAGACUGGUCCAGAUGUGCAAUGUUGGAGGGUCCAGAUGGACACAGCCCCCUUUGGAGGUGAUAUCAACAUCAAGCAGGACUCCAUGGAGAUGGCAGCCUGGGAUGCCAGGUAGAUGUGGCAAAUUCCUGCAAGUGUGGGUAAGCCAUGGGGACCUUUUAGGUAGGAACAUGGUCACCAGACUCAGAUGUCAAGACACUGGGGUUUCCUCUCACCCCUUCAUUUCCAUGCCAACUAGGAAGUGGGGGUGGGUAAGGGUGGUCAUUGCCCUAUGACUUCCUCUCUUUGGGGGUUGGGUUCUUUGGGGCCCAUUGUUCCCCUGAACAAAAGGACACUGAUCAUCUGGUUGUUUGUGGCUUCUGGUGCCAGUAGGAGAAGCUGCCUCUCAGUUUUUUCACUCCACCCUGGGGCACCAGAUGCUGCCAGGCCUCUGGGUACAACAGAGCCUACAGAGGAAGGAUGGAGAUUGGACCUGAGCCACAAAAGAGGUAUUGAUGGGUUGUGGGCGGGCUCGGGAGGCUGAGGACAGUACCAGGAUAGCCCUGGACUGACAUAGGCUUGCUGGCCUGUGAGCAGUAUGGCUGCUCCUCUGUGUUGAGCCUCAGUUUCUUUUGCUCUUUCCUACUCUUCCCAUUCUCCCCCUCCUAAUACCCUCCCAGCCUGUACAGCAGCUGCCUACCAGUCAAGGGCUCCAGCCCUCCUGCUGCCUCCUCUCUGGGUGGGUUGCCACCCCAGUCCAGGAUGCCUUUGUUUAGAUAUGCCCUUACCUGCCUUCCAUAUACACCCUAGAAGCCUCUGAGACGGCUGUUCUAGAAAAUAUCGACGGGACAUAGCUGUCUGGUUGAUCUCACUUGGAUCCAGGCGGCCACUGGGACCAGUGACCUACGUCUCCACUUCUGUCACCAUGACCAUCCUCUGGGAACAGGCUUCUGAUACUAUUUUCCCCAUAUCCUCACCAGGCCAGGUACCCUGGCUUUCCUCAGGACCCAGAUAUCUAGGCUCUUGAGCCCUACUGGCCUAGAGUGGGCAUUUUUCUAUUCUAUUCCCAGGGCCCUUGUCCUGUAUUGGCACCUUUCUUCUUUAUUGGGUUGACCAGCAGUCCGGUACUUGGGCUUACAUCAAGGCUGUGGAAUCUUGCAUUUAAAAUGCUAGUCCAAGGGGACAGUGCUAGUCUCAAAAGAGCAUUUGGGAUAGCUGGACAGGUGACCUAGGACGCCUUUUUGGUUCAGAUGUGUCAGUGCUGUUUCACAUCAUGAAUGCUCCAAGCUGCCCACUGUGGGGCCCCGUCUCAUCUCAUCCCUGUGGAGUCACCCACUGUUGGAUAUUUGCCAAGUGGAGAGAGAGUAAACACUCACUCCCAGAGGGUGUGCGUUUGCCCAGGCUGCUCCAUUUAUGCAGGGCCUAUGAGCAAGCUUGGUGCAGAAUCAGCUCCACCACAGCCCUUCUGAACCUGUAAAUGCUUCAGAGUCCCCUAGCCUGGCUUGUCAGUUUCUCCCAGGAGGCCGAGAGCUGGAUCCGAUCACUUCAACAGUGUUGGGCUCUGCCUUGUGUAGGUUUUCUUUGUAAUAGUUCAGAGGACUUCUCCUGUAUUCUAGCCAAUGAAUCCACUGUCAUAAGUAAUUGCAGAUGACAUUGGGACGCUUUCCACAGUGCUGUUCCGUUUGUUCCUUAGAGUCAGCUGUGAGGGACUCAGAGCUCAUGAUGAUUACCCCUCCUACUUCUAACAGAGGAGAUGCCAAGGCUUAGGGACUAUUAACAUUUUGCUCAAGGGCACACAGGCUGAGGUUGAGCAUAGUGCCCAGCUGGGAACAUUCUCUUCUGCUUGCCUGCCCGCCUACUGUCUCUGUUCCUCCCUCUUUCCUUUGGGCCUGUGGUGGGGGACUGGGUAUAGUCCUGGCUAACUAACAAGCCUUGAGAGUUUAACAAGCUAAAGUUGGGAGGCUUUUCUGCCUGAGGGGACAGACAUCCUCUUCUAAAUCUGGAGCCUCUGAAGACUCCCAUUCCAGCUUUAAACAAAUCUGAGAUUAAAAUUAGUAAAAUUAACCAUGUAGGGACAGAGGAUGUAGCUUAGUCAAUAGAGAUGGAGUGCUUGCCUGAUAUGUACAAAGCCUUGGGUUCUAGCCCCAGCAUCCCAUAAACCAUAGGCAUGGUGACCUCACCUAUAAUCCCAAUACUUAGGGGGUAGAGGCCAGAGAGCCAGGAGGGUCAUUACUGGUUCUAUAGUGAGUUUCAAGGUCAGCUUGGGUUAUAUGAGUCCCUCCCUAAUAAGCCAAAUACAUAAUUAUCCAAAUACAGUUGUAUUUCUGUGGCAAUUUUUCCAGCUUUAUGAAUACAUAUUUAGAAGCAAAUUGUUAUAUUUAUAUUUCUUUGUUUUAGAAAUAUAACCUCUUUCCCAGCCCCCCUUCUCAUUCCCCCUCCUCCUACUUCUAUG
rnacentral:sRNA from 1 species